AAGGAUAAUAUACGGAAUAUCACCAUUAGGUGAUAAGCGGAUUAACGUGACAUAUUGUAUUCAGUUUUGAAUGCUCAUUCAUUUGAGGAUUCAGAAUGAUUUGUACAUUGAAAACUAGAUAAGUAAGUAUAGAUUUUACCAAGCAAAACCGAGUGACAAGCGUUUAAAAGCUUGAAACAAAAAAUUAUCGCUAGUCGUCAAAUGACGACUCACAUAAUUAAUAACUGGUGAUUUUGGGAAAAGUGGAUUUCGGUAGAUGAACUGAGUGAAUACGAAGUGAUGAAGCCGAAUGCAAACGAUUGCCAAAAUAUCAUAUA
rnacentral:misc_RNA from 1 species